rnacentral:rRNA from 1 species
AGAGUUUGAUCCUGGCUCAGAUUGAACGCUGGCGGCAUGCCUUACACAUGCAAGUCGAACGGCAGCACGGGUGCUUGCACCUGGUGGCGAGUGGCGAACGGGUGAGUAAUAUAUCGGAACGUACCCUAGAGUGGGGGAUAACGCAGCGAAAGUUGCGCUAAUACCGCAUACGAUCUACGGAUGAAAGUGGGGGAUCGCAAGACCUCAUGCUCAUGGAGCGGCCGAUAUCUGAUUAGCUAGUUGGUGGGGUAAAAGCCUACCAAGGCAUCGAUCAGUAGCUGGUCUGAGAGGACGACCAGCCACACUGGAACUGAGACACGGUCCAGACUCCUACGGGAGGCAGCAGUGGGGAAUUUUGGACAAUGGGCGCAAGCCUGAUCCAGCAAUGCCGCGUGAGUGAAGAAGGCCUUCGGGUUGUAAAGCUCUUUUGUCAGGGAAGAAACGGUGAGGGCUAAUAUCCUUUGCUAAUGACGGUACCUGAAGAAUAAGCACCGGCUAACUACGUGCCAGCAGCCGCGGUAAUACGUAGGGUGCAAGCGUUAAUCGGAAUUACUGGGCGUAAAGCGUGCGCAGGCGGUUAUGUAAGUCAGAUGUGAAAUCCCCGGGCUCAACCUGGGAAUGGCAUUUGAGACUGCAUGGCUAGAGUGUGACAGAGGGGGGUAGAAUUCCACGUGUAGCAGUGAAAUGCGUAGAGAUGUGGAGGAAUACCGAUGGCGAAGGCAGCCCCCUGGGAUAACACUGACGCUCAUGCACGAAAGCGUGGGGAGCAAACAGGAUUAGAUACCCUGGUAGUCCACGCCCUAAACGAUGUCUACUAGUUGUCGGGACUUAAUUGUCUUGGUAACGCAGCUAACGCGUGAAGUAGACCGCCUGGGGAGUACGGUCGCAAGAUUAAAACUCAAAGGAAUUGACGGGGACCCGCACAAGCGGUGGAUGAUGUGGAUUAAUUCGAUGCAACGCGAAAAACCUUACCUACCCUUGACAUGUACGGAACCUCUGAGAGAUUAGAGGGUGCUCGAAAGAGAGCCGUAACACAGGUGCUGCAUGGCUGUCGUCAGCUCGUAUCGUGAGAUGUUGGGUUAAGUCCCGCAACGAGCGCAACCCUUGUCAUUAGUUGCUACGAAAGGGCACUCUAAUGAGACUGCCGGUGACAAACCGGAGGAAGGUGGGGAUGACGUCAAGUCCUCAUGGCCCUUAUGGGUAGGGCUUCACACGUCAUACAAUGGUACAUACAGAGGGCCGCCAACCCGCGAGGGGGAGCUAAUCCCAGAAAGUGUAUCGUAGUCCGGAUUGUAGUCUGCAACUCGACUACAUGAAGUUGGAAUCGCUAGUAAUCGCGGAUCAGCAUGUCGCGGUGAAUACGUUCCCGGGUCUUGUACACACCGCCCGUCACACCAUGGGAGCGGGUUUCACCAGAAGUAGGUAGCCUAACCGCAAGGAGGGCGCUUACCACGGUGGGAUUCGUGACUGGGGUGAAGUCGUAACAAGGUA